UGCGACGUGGCGAGGACGGUCAACUAGGAUUCUCGAUAGUAUCUGUUGGUGGGAAUGGAAAGUGGGCUGGAGAUAAGCCCAUCUUUGUGAAAACGAUCGAAGUCGGAGGAAGAGCCUAUGAUGACGGACGACUACAGCCUGGCGAUCUCAUUAUGCCGGUGAACGGACAGAGUUUGAAGGAAGCCACGCACGAUCGGGCAGCCAGCGUGUUGCGGAACGCCGGAAACGUAGUGGUCUUGGACGUUAUUCAUGUGAAUUUGUAUGUGUCUGCUCACCAUUCCUGUACCACUCCGAGUGGAUGCUCAUGGAUUGUGCUGCGGGAGAAACUUGGACUACUAGCAAUAAAUAAUCAAUGAUUGGUUAAGUAAUGUUAACAGUUAAAUAAGCAGCAGUUGGCUAAGUAGUGUUAACCAAUUGGUUAUAUGCCAUGAUUGUAGAACGACCGCCGAUAUAAGCAGCUAGCAGCUACUACUCUGACUCUUGUUUUGCUAGAAGUAUUGGUUUCUUCUCUCUUAUAACUGUGUGAAACAAUCUAA